rnacentral:rRNA from 1 species
GACGAACGCUGGCGGCGUGCUUAACACAUGCAAGUCGAACGGAAAGGCCCUGCUUGCCGGGUACUCGAGUGGCGAACGGGUGAGUAACACGUGGGUGAUCUGCCCUGCACUUCGGGAUAAGCCUGGGAAACUGGGUCUAAUACCGGAUAGGAGCCAUUUUUAGUGUGAUGGUUGGAAAGUUUUUUCGGUGUAGGAUGAGCUCGCGGCCUAUCAGCUUGUUGGUGGGGUAAUGGCCUACCAAGGCGGCGACGGGUAGCCGGCCUGAGAGGGUGGACGGCCACAUUGGGACUGAGAUACGGCCCAGACUCCUACGGGAGGCAGCAGUGGGGAAGAUUGCACAAUGGGCGCAAGCCUGAUGCAGCGACGCCGCGUGGGGGAUGACGGCCUUCGGGUUGUAAACUCCUUUCGCUAGGGACGAAGCUUUUUGUGACGGUACCUAGAUAAGAAGCACCGGCUAACUACGUG